UAAAUUUUACUAAAUAUUGUAUUUUAAAUAGUAGAAUCCAAGUAUUUAUAUCUUGAAUCUUCCUCCUUUGCAGGAUUAUACUUUUUACUUGAGCUUCUUAAUUAAUUAGCAGUCUCCGUACUGUUAUUGUUCAUCUAUCUGCGCUUUCCUGGUCCUCCGGGUAGUGAUGGACUUGGACAUGCAUCUAUGCAACUGUCGGGUUUUUGAAGUGGACGAGCAGAUGUUGGAAGCGCUGCCAUAACCAAAAUGAUGAGGACGGUAAGUAUGGCAAUGAAAAUCUUCAUACUCUUGCCCAUCUUAGUAGCUUUGAAAUUAAGGGAAAUGCAUAUAAUUAACAGGAGCUU
rnacentral:misc_RNA from 1 species